rnacentral:lncRNA from 1 species
CCAACUUCAUGUUCUUCUAUGCAAACCCAUUUCUCCGUAUGAACAUGUAGACGGCUUUACUUGUAUCACACUUGAAUCCACAAUGUGAUGGACCUAAAUUGCAUGCCCUCAUUAAAUCAUACAAAUUAUAAUUUCUCAUAUUUUUACUAAAUUUUAAUGCAACAUACUCCGCUGAUGUUUAAUUCAUCAUCCUAGGAUCUGUUGAGGAAUGUCCAGCCAAAUCUGAUAGGAUCAGCUAGAGAUGGAUAGCCAGCCGCAGAAAAAA